rnacentral:rRNA from 1 species
GAUGAACGCUGGCGGCGUGCCUAAUACAUGCAAGUCGAGCGAACAGACGAGGAGCUUGCUCCUUCGACGUUAGCGGCGGACGGGUGAGUAACACGUAGGUAACCUACCUAUAAGACUGGGAUAACUUCGGGAAACCGGAGCUAAUACCGGAUAAUAUUUCGAACCGCAUGGUUCGAUAGUGAAAGAUGGCUUUGCUAUCACUUAUAGAUGGACCUGCGCCGAAUUAGCUAGUUGGUAAGGUAACGGCUUACCAAGGCAACGAUACGUAGCCGACCUGAGAGGGUGAUCGGCCACACUGGAACUGAGACACGGUCCAGACUCCUACGGGAGGCAGCAGUAGGGAAUCUUCCGCAAUGGGCGAAAGCCUGACGGAGCAACGCCGCGUGAGUGAUGAAGGUCUUCGGAUCGUAAAACUCUGUUAUUAGGGAAGAACAAACGUGUAAGUAACUAUGCACGUCUUGACGGUACCUAAUCAGAAAGCCACGGCUAACUACGUG